rnacentral:rRNA from 1 species
GAGGUAGAAAUCAAGAAGGAGCAUCAAGUGUUGAUGGUUAACAAGACCACUAGUUUCAAGAAAAAGGGCAAAGGGAAGAAAAAGAGGAACUUCAAAAAGAACGGCAAGCAAGUUGCUGCUCAAGAGAAGAAACCCAAGUCUAGACCUAAGCCUGAAACUGAGUGCUUCUACUGCAAGCAGACUGGUCACUGGAAGCGGAACUGCCCCAAGUAUUUGGCGGAUAAGAAGGAUGGCAAGGUGAACAAAGGUAUAUGUGAUAUACAUGUUAUUGAUGUGUACCUUACCAAUGCUCGCAGUAGCACCUGGGUAUUUGAUACUGGUUCUGUUGCUAAUAUUUGCAACUCGAAACAGGGACUACAGAAUAAGCGGGCACUGGCAAAGGACGAG